AAAAUUUUGUAGUUUUGGUCCAAAACGAAAUGUUGGUGCACCACCGGUCCAAUUUUAGAUACAUUGUGUGGUUUUGAUCCCUAUUGUUGUAAUUUCUUGUGUUUUUGGUCCACAUCCCACCUAAAAUGACUAAUAUGCCCCUUAAAUAAUUAUACUUUAAUUUCUUUUAAUUAUUUUCUUAUUCUUAUAAUAAAAUAAAAACAAAAUAAACCCACCACAUACACACACACACACGCACACACACACACACUCUCUCUCUCUCUCUCUCUCUCUCUCUUCAUCUGCCAUCACAACAGCCUCAUCUCUCGCACUUCUUUUGUCCAUCGAGCAAACUCUACCAAACCCCCACUUGCCUGCCUUGUUCCACCAGAUCAUUCUUCUGUCCACCUCUCCUUCGAGUUUCAUCGUUGGAUGCCACCUCCGUUCUUAUUUCUUCGAGCGACCCAAGGUCGUCGAUUCUGCUGCUAUGCGUCUCUUAGAUCGAUGCCGAAGACGAGGAAGAAAAACCCACAAAGGGUCACCGGUCUCGAAGAAUCUGCAUAUUUGGAAGAAUUCUUAGCUCAUCAUCGCUUUAUUAAGGAUUCACACACACACACACACACACUUUUUGAAAUCAAUUGAGAAGUAGAAGACAUAUCAGGGGACGAAAUCGAUAUGAAAUUUGUCAGGAUUCAACCACUUUAAACCAGUAAACCCUAAUGGCUCGAUUAAUAGGUGUGUGUGUGUGUGUAUUUUUGAUUGCAGCUCUCAAGGAUCCGAUUUAAGGGUGAUAUCUGGUGGUUCGGGAAAGGGGUGAAGGAAGGUGUUCGAUUGUGGGUGAUUAAGGUGACUGGAGGAAUUUAUGAUUUUGGUUUUGCUUAGAAGAAAUCAAAGAGGGGAAAAUGCGAUCUUGGAAGAAGGAAUGAUUCUGAUGAUGAAUCGCUUUCACAAGUGUGGAAGGUUGUCAAGAACAUAAGGUGUUCGAUGAAUUAACAAAGAGACAAAUAAAGUUAUACCAUUGAAAACGACUCACCUUUGGCUGACCCACACACUCUGUUUCUGUUUCUUCUUCUUCUUCUUCAAAGCCUCACACAACUAUCAGUUCUUUUACUUUUGCUCCUAUAUAAUAUUCAUCACAAUCUUUUCUCCUUCUCUUGCAAAUUAAUGAACAACUUCAAAAUAGAACCAAAUCGAUUAGAAGGGCAGUAUUGAUGGGGAAGUGUUAUCGGGCAUGAGGAAGGAAAGAUGGGGGUGAGGGUGGGAUUGGAUGUUUAUGGUGGACAAUGGUGGCAGUCAAUGGUGAUGGUGGCGAACGGUGGUAGCAAUCGGUGGUGAUGGUGACGACCACUAAUGGUGAUAUGUUCUUUUUUGAGAGUGUGUGUGUGCGUUUUUGUUGAGAGAGAGGGGGAAAGAGAAAUGGUGGGUAGACCUUUUUU
rnacentral:lncRNA from 1 species